AUAUGUUAUUCGUGACCAGAAAAUAAUCUUAGAAAUAUUAGAAAAGAUAAAACCAUAUUUGAUUGCUAAAGCAAAACAUUUAGAAUUAGCGUUAAAGCUAAUGCGGUUAGAGAAUUGGAAUUCAAACAAAACUAAUUUGCAAAAGGCGAUGAAGCUAGCUCAAGAUAUAAAAGGCCUAAAUAAAUACCCAAAACGUGUUAGAUUUGACCCCGUAACGACUGAGGUCGAAAGACCGAGAUAUCGAUUCUACAAGUAUUAGAAUUUUAUCGAUAUAAUACGCCGACACUCCCCGCCCAGGGCGGGGAAAGAAGAUAUAGUCUACACUACUAGUAAUAGUAGAUAAAGUGACGGUCCAUACACCUACGGGUGGCAGCAGUUGGGAAUAUUGCACAAUGGGCGACAGCCUGAUGCAGCGACGCCGCGUGAAGGAAGAAGGCCUUCGGGUUGUAAACUUCUUUUUUAGGGGACGAUUGUGACGGUACCCUAAGAAUAAGGACCUGCUAACUACGUGCCAGCAGCAGCGGUAAUACGUAGGGUCCGAGCGUUGUCCGGAUUUAUUGGGCGUAAAGAGCAUGUAGGUGGAUUGAUGUGUCGGAUUUUAAAUCUCCAGGCUUAACUUGGAUUUUGGAUCCGAAACUAUUAAUCUCGAGGAUAACAGGGGCAAGCGGAAUUAGCGGAGUAGCAGUGAAAUGCGUUGAUCUCGCUAAGAACACCAAUGGCGAAGGCAGCUUGCUAGGUUAUCUCUGACACUGAGAUGCGAAAGCGUGGGGAGCGAACGGGAUUAGAUACCCCGGUAGUCCACGCCGUAAACGAUGCAGACUAGGUAUCAGAAGUAUCGACCCUUCUUGUACCAAAGCUAACGCGUUAAGUCUGCCGCCUGGGAAGUACGGUCGCAAGACUAAAACUCAAAGGAAUUGACGGGGACUCGCACAAGCGGUGGAGCAUGUGGUUUAAUUCGACGAUAAGCGAAGAACCUUACCAGGGAUUGACAUCUAGAGAACCCUGCAGAAAUGCGGGGGUGCUCGCAAGAGAGCUCUAAGACAGGUGCUGCACGGCUGUCGUCAGCUCGUGUCGUGAGAUGUGGCCUUAAGUGGUCAAACGAGCGAAACCUGUAUCCUGUGUUGAUUUUCACAGGAGACUGCCUCGGUUUACGGGGAGGAAGGCGCAGAUGACGUCAAGUCAGCGUGGCUCUUACACCCUGGGCUACACACGUGCUACAAUGGUAAUGCUAUAAAGAGUUGCAAGAUCGCAAGAUUAAGCUAAUCUCCUAAAACUUGCCUCAGUACGGAUUGAGGGCUGUAAUUCGCCCUCAUGAAGCUGGAAUCGCUAGUAAUCGUGGGUCAGCUACACCACGGUGAAUACGUUCUCGAGUCUUGUACACACCGCCCGUCAAGUGAGCCGAGUCGGCGGGGCCCGAACUUCGUAGUAACGGGGAACGGCCAAGUCGGUGAGGAGCACUAAGUCGUAACAAGGUAUCCGUAGGGGAAUCUGCGGAUG
rnacentral:rRNA from 1 species